AUUCUACUCCCUCUGUUGCACAAUACAUGCCUUCUAUUUGUCAGAAUAUAUAUGUAUCUAGACAUGUUUUAGUAUAUAGGCACAUCCAUUUUUGGACAACUGGAAGUCAAGUAUUUUGGAACGGAUGGAGUACACA
rnacentral:pre_miRNA from 1 species